rnacentral:rRNA from 1 species
GACGAACGCUGGCGGCGUGCCUAAUACAUGCAAGUAGAACGCUGAAGGAGGAGCUUGCUUCUCUGGAUGAGUUGCGAACGGGUGAGUAACGCGUAGGUAACCUGCCUGGUAGCGGGGGAUAACUAUUGGAAACGAUAGCUAAUACCGCAUAAUAGCAGUUGUUGCAUGACAACUGUUUGAAAGGUGCAAUUGCACCACUACCAGAUGGACCUGCGUUGUAUUAGCUAGUUGGUGGGGUAACGGCUCACCAAGGCGACGAUACAUAGCCGACCUGAGAGGGGGAUCGGCCACACUGGGAAUGAGACACGGCCCAGACUCCUACGGGAGGCAGCAGUAGGGAAUCUUCGGCAAUGGACGGAAGUCUGACCGAGCAACGCCGCGUGAGUGAAGAAGGUUUUCGGAUCGUAAAGCUCUGUUGUAAGAGAAGAACGAGUGUGAGAGUGGAAAGUUCACACUGUGACGGUAUCUUACCAGAAAGGGACGGCUAACUACGUG